rnacentral:rRNA from 1 species
GACGAACGCUGGCGGCGUGCCUAACACAUGCAAGUCGAGCGAGUGAAUUUCCUUCGGGAUUGAAGCUAGCGGCGGACGGGUGAGUAACACGUGGGCAACCUGCCUCAUAGAGGGGAAUAGCCUUUCGAACGGAAGAUUAAUACCGCAUAAGAUUGUAGCUUCGCAUGAAGUAGCAAUUAAAGGAGCAAUCCGCUAUGGGAUGGGCCCGCGGCGCAUUGGCUAGUUGGUGAGGUAACGGCUCAACAAGGCGACGGUGCGUAGCCGAACUGAGAGGGUGAUCGGCCACAUUGGGAACGAGACCCGGCCCAGGCGCCUAAGGGGAGCAGGAGUGGGGAAUAUUGCACAAUGGGGGAAACCCUGAAGCAGCAACGCCGGGUGGGUGGUGACGGCCUUCGGGUUGUAAAGCUCUGUCUUCAGGGACGAUAAUGACGGUACCUGAGGAGGGAGCCACGGCUAACUACGUGCCAGCCGCCGCGGUAA